rnacentral:misc_RNA from 1 species
GGGCGCUGUACCGGCGGCAGAUCCAAGAAUCAAGAUGACGUCCCAUGUCACCGAUGUUCUGCUCGCAAACACGGAUCUGUUGGAAAAUGAAGACCUGAGGACGCGCAUCGGCAAAUUAUCAACUCACAUUGAUGAGAUCAAGGGUGAAAUCUACCACGCCGUACACGAGAAGUAUGCCAACUACAGACCCACCAGGGACUCCACCCAGGAGCUACACAACAAGGUGCAGACACUGUCCACUGAGAUGCAGACUCUCAGCAAUAAGAUCAAGGUUAAACAACAUGGUGACUCCACUGUGGAACCAGCCGUAUGAGGACCAGCUAUCCACCAAACAGACCAACACCAGGGAGUUUCUGAGGAAUUUAUCCAAGAUGCUGCAAUGGAACAUUGGGGAGAUGUCUCCCUGGCUGAAGCAACAAAGCCAGUAUUAGAGAGUUAUCGCAACAAGUGUGAGUUUACCAUCGGAAAGAGUGUCUAUGGCAUCGAUAACACUGCUGGUUU